rnacentral:lncRNA from 1 species
CAGAUUUGGCUGAGGAAAGUGUAUUAUUUGUUUCAGAUCACCAUUUCAAAUUUGCAUUGAGCUGAAAGGAUCAAUAAUAAAUUCCAGCUCAAAUUAUGAAUCUUCUGAUGCUUUUCUAAAUGAAAUCCACUGUUGUGUCAGGAAUAUUUUUAUCCCUCUGACACAGAAAUCAUGUUUUGCAGAAGCCUCGGCUGCAGAAAUAAUGCGUUAUUAUACAAGAACAGAGAAGGACAAGUUAUUUUAAAGAUAGUGAGAAAUAUCCUCCCAUGGUGUGUUUAACACUCAUCGACAGAGUAAGAAGCUAUUCUGUUGACGACAGUGUGACCAGAAUUUUACCCAACAUCGUUACUCUUACUGCAAUCAAUAUAUUCCAGGAAUCACUGGGCUAUUACUCAGUGUGUGAUGUUGUCUUUGCUGCCAAGAUUUUAUCUCAGAAGACACACAGAUGGCAUGUUUCUGCAUAUAAACACAAAGUAAAAAGUGCUGGAGCAGCGUGAAACAUGCUCCUCCUGCAACAAAUCCUGCAAACAGGACUCUGACUCAGCCAACAUGGACUCUCCUUUGCAGGAUCAGGGCAUGAUUCUAGACCAGGUGAAAUGUAUAUUUCAUGAAAUUCUGGCCCACCAUUUAUUUUAUUUUUGGGGCGCCUGCAUGUCGCUUGGCUGCUCUGAAGCACAAAACACACUCCGGAAAUGCUCUGCCAUCUUCUGUGUCUGCAGUGAGGACAUUGUGGAAACACAACUGCGUUUUCCUUAUGACAGAAGUUGUGAAUAGCUUGGGUUGCCUGUCUUUGGUUGGUUCAUAGUGAUAUUUAUUCAAGUGCAGGAGAACAGAACAUUUCACAAUUUGCUAUUUUCAGCCUGAUGAAAUCAUGUGCCUGCCAUAGUUGUGUGUUCUGUCUGUUUUCCUAAUUCUCAAUGUUGCGUGAGAAUUGCAUUUUAUGGAUGUCUGGUUGCUAAUAGGUGGAUGAAAUCUGAAAUCCGUGAUGAAUGUUUACUCAAUACAACAAGUUCAAGAUUGUGAUUAAAACUCCAAAGGCCUGGUUGAGGCUUUGCACUUUAAUAUCACACUUUUUUGAGCUUUACAGCUUUUUUAAAGAGAGGGAUCUUGUGAGGCACUGAAAACUGAUCUUGAUGAUGAUAACUUGAGUUAGAGAAAUAAGCCCUUAUAUUUUCUUGUCCAGAAUGACAGGCCAUCACUCCUGGGGAAGAAGUGACUUGCUGCUUUGUUACUUUGUUCUAACAAUAAUUCACAUUUCUGUAACCCAGAGGAACACCAAAAUGCUCUCCAGCAUGCACAUAUUUCAUUUAUUUCUGUAAGCUGAAGAAAGCAACUAUUUUAUAGCGACAAAACUAGAAAUAGGAUUGAAAAAGGCAAUAUGGCCAUAGAAAAUUUAUUAGCCAGUAAAUGUAAUUCCCUAAAUUGGGAGUUAUCCGAGGGGCAGUGGCAUUUCUGCUUGUGAGUGGACAGGGCUUAAUUUCAUAAUACAAUGCCUGUUGCACUUUUUUUUGCUGUUAUUUAAUCUUAUCUUUCCUUUCCAUGGAGUCACUGGAAAAUAGUAAAAUAUAAAGACAAAAAACAAAGUUCUAUUUAAAAUUACUGUUAGUGAUUGAGCUGAGUGGUGCAGUUGAUACAACAGAAAGAAGGGAUGCCAUCCAAAGGGACCUGGACAGGCUGGAAAAGUGGGCCCACAUGAACCUCAUGAGGUUCAACAAGUCCAAGUGCAAGGUGCUGCACCUGGGUCAGGGCAAUCCCAGACAUGAGCACAGACUGGGAGAAUAAAUUGAGAGCAGCCCUGCA